AUUGGGGAAUCUAAUUGGCAAUGUCAGUGAGAAAAGCGACGAGGAUAAUGCUUCUCUUAAAACUUUGCGAGAUGCAAGUAUGAAAACAAGGAUGGUAAAGGAAGCAUAUGACAUCGAGAAGCAUCAUAUAUAGUGGAUAGAAGGCUAUGCAGAUAUAUGUUCAACAAAUGGCAUGCCCAAUAAUGAUGGACGGGUAACUAUGAGAAGGUUAUGGAAUUGUACAAUGUCCCGAGGCUUAGCCGUAACUCCUUUCCUCUUCUAACUCCCCCAAGAUCUGAAAAUGAUAAUAGCACUAUCGGUUUUGGAGUUGCGGGAAGCAAUUCAGACGGACUGAAUUCAGAGUGAGUAGUUGAUUGUGUGUGAAAAGCUUUUAGUGGCAGAUUCAGCAUCUAAGCUAAGGUUGAACUCCAAACUUCUCUAGGACUCAAUAGUUGGUUUGGUAAAUGGAAAUCCAAAAGUUGUAUGGAAGGCAGGCAUGAACAAGCAAUUAUCCAACUAUACAGUGAGUUUUUAGCCGAAUGUUCCCC